UACGUAGGUGGCAAGCGUUGUUCGGAAUUACUGGGCGUAAAGCGCGCGUAGGCGGCUCUUCAAGUCAGACGUGAAAGCCCCGAGCUUAACUCGGGAACUGCGUUUGAUACUGUCGGGCUAGAGUGUGGAAGGGGCGAUUGGAAUUCCGUGUGUAGCGGUGAAAUGCGUAGAUAUACGGAGGAACACCAGGGGCGAAGGCGGAUCGCUGGGCCAACACUGACGCUGAUGUGCGAAAGCUAGGGGAGCAAACGGG
rnacentral:rRNA from 1 species